rnacentral:lncRNA from 1 species
CUCCAGCUUAUGAAUGAUCAGGAGGAGAAAUUGGAAGAGUGUUUUGUUCACAAGYCCUGAGCAAGAGUUAGAAUAUGGGACUAAUGGUGGUAAAGUCAAAUACUGGUGAGAGAGACAUGCUGGAAGCUUGAAUGGUUUGCCAAAUCUAGGUUUACUGCAUGUUUGGAAUAGUCUAUGAAGUAUAUGCUGUCAGAGCUGAGCUGCUUGAGUUAAGCAGUUAUCAAUUGGGCUGGUUCAGAAAGUAGCCAAACUGUUGCUGUACAAAGAAGCUGGAAACCCAAACUGAGCAAAUUACUCGUGCUCAGGCUGGUUUCCCAGGAGCUAAUAAGAAACAUUAUUUUGCAAGAUGUUUAUGUAUUUAGUGAGAAGAGGGACAGGCACAAAAACUACUUCAGGGUUCUUGCUGGUUAAAGAUAACUUUCUGAAUAUGACCUAUUGAAAUACUUUCCUGCUGAAUCUGUAAGUAAGCAGCUCUGGUGCCUCCGCUCUUGCUCAGAGCUUCCUUGCAGAGAAUCAGAGUGAAGACGACUGAUCAGAAAUCUAUUAUCCAGAAAUCAUCUGGGAAUACUGACCCUGAAACCUGUGGUUAUUUCUACCUUCCAUCUAAUAAGACGGCUUUAUGCAGCAGAAGAGGCAUGAACUUAGRUCACAAAUGGACUAGAAAGAUCCAAAAAAUUGAAAACUGAAGAAGUAGCAGUGUAUCAGAAAUCUCCUCUGGUUGUAACACUUAAGGAGCAAGAAGCAGAACAAUUCAAAGGGACAAGAGAAGAAAGAGCGCUCUUUAUCUGUUAGUGCUUCAAGGAAGAGAAUUAAUAUAUGAGAAGAAACAUCAACUAGCUGGAAGUCAGCAAGUCAGACGGAGCUCCUGAAUGUAACCUGUGGACUCCAUCCUUGAAGAAAACCUUCGAUCUAGAGGAGACCUGCUGAGUCCCCAGUGAGGCUGUUUUACUGCCAAGCUCAGAAACGUCGUUCUGCUGCUGAUGCUGCCAGAGGCUCCGUCGUCAGAUGAUCGCUGCCGUUCGUCUCAGAGGCCGACUGGCUGGAAGGGAGGAAAACCCCUGGUGCACAGCCUGCGUCUGAGAAGAUCUUGUCUGGUAUCUGCACGGUCUUGCUCCUUGAUUGAAAAUGCUUUCUGCUGUUUGCCCUGUGUAUUUCUGCUACUGCCGUUUACACGAGUGAAGAAACGUAGGAGACCGGAGAGGAUAAACUCUCUUUCUCCCUUGGUUGCAAAGAGUGAAGCAGCACAUAAAUGCAGUUAG